rnacentral:rRNA from 1 species
GUGGGGAAUCUUGCGCAAUGGGCGAAAGCCUGACGCAGCCAUGCCGCGUGAAUGAUGAAGGUCUUAGGAUUGUAAAAUUCUUUCACCGGGGACGAUAAUGACGGUACCCGGAGAAGAAGCCCCGGCUAACUUCGUGCCAGCAGCCGCGGUAAUACGAAGGGGGCUAGCGUUGCUCGGAAUUACUGGGCGUAAAGGGCGCGUAGGCGGACAGUUUAGUCAGAGGUGAAAGCCCAGGGCUCAACCUUGGAAUUGCCUUUGAUACUGGCUGUCUUGAGUACGGGAGAGGUGGGUGGAACUCCGAGUGUAGAGGUGAAAUUCGUAGAUAUUCGGAAGAACACCAGUGGCGAAGGCGACUCACUGGCCCGUUACUGACGCUGAGGCGCGAAAGCGUGGGGAGCAAACAGGAUUAGAUACCCGUGUAGUCC